UAAUUUGAUUUAUUACUUUCGAAAUUGUGAAUGCAUCAUAACCUAACUUUCGAACUGUCAAUGUCACUUCAAAAUGUCAUUCUUAUCAACGCAAUUCGCUAUGUAGUACGGUUUCAUCGAGCGAGAUCUUGAGCUCACGCGGUCUGCAACCAAAACUCACGCUUUGAUUAAAGAUUCAUAUAAACUUUCAAUUUAAUAUCUCUCGAAAUGUUUCGCUUACCUUUUGGUGACAGGGUUGACCCCAUGGAGGAAAAACGACAAGCUAGGGAAAACACCAUCAAUAGUGUUAUUACAUUCUGUGUACUCUGUGCUGCCAUAAGAGUCGCCCCACUGAUAUUGGAGCACAGCGGUAUAUAAACACAGCAGCCAUCAUUCUUCAUUCACCAUUAUUUUUUAGACCACCGUGGCAGCGAUCAUUCAAGCCAAGCCUCUAUGGCCUGAUUAACUCCAAAUAUUAUGAAAUAAAAUUAUAGUUAUUGUUAAUUUAA